AUUGAACGCUGGCGGCAUGCCUUACACAUGCAAGUCGAACGGCAGCGGGCCCUUCGGGGUGCCGGCGAGUGGCGAACGGGUGAGUAAUGCAUCGGAACGUACCCGGGAGAGGGGGAUAACCGGCCGAAAGGCUGGCUAUUACGCCAUGACCCCGAAGGGCCAAACGGGGGGACUUUCGGCCCCCGGCCCUUCGGGGCGGCCAAUGUCCGAUUAGGCUAGUUGGGGGGGUAAAGGCCCACCAAGGCGACGAUCGGUAGCGGGUCUGAGAGGACGAUCCGCCACACUGGGACUGAGACACGGCCCAGACUCCUACGGGAGGCAGCAGUGGGGAAUCUUGGACAAUGGGCGCAAGCCUGAUCCAGCAAUGCCGCGUGGGUGAAGAAGGCCUUCGGGUUGUAAAGCCCUUUCGGCGGGGAAGAAAUCGGUCAGGCGAAUAGUCUGGCCGGAUGACGGUACCCGCAGAAGAAGCACCGGCUAACUACGUG
rnacentral:rRNA from 1 species